GCCCUAUGAAACUCCCAAUCACAGCCGGUUGUGAUACAGCCUGGAAUCAAACCAGGGUCUGUAGUGAUGCCUCUAGCACUGAGAUGCAGUGCCUUAGACCGCUGCGCCACUCGGGAUACCUCAGUGGAAGCCAACAAUCUGCUCCAGUUGGAUGGUCGACCACUGAAAGCACAGACGUUCUACACUUCGGUGAAGCCCAAUAGACAAAGUAUGUUAAGCUUUGGUUGACAUUUGAGCAAGCAAGAAAUGGUAGUUAUGCUGAGCUUAUAAAAAUGCACCUCUUCAAUUGUCCGAAUGACUUCAGGACCAUCGACUGUCCGAAGUAUCCCAUCCACCAGAACCAGUGAGUUCGGAUCAGUCUGAUUAUCUGUGCUCUGAGUCGGAGGGGAAACAGCUUGAAGUAGGCUCUACCUUCUAAAAGUGUUGAAAAGUACAUAUCUCCCAUUUACAACACUGCACUAAUCCAUCACAUUUUAUCCCUGUAAAGUGUAACCUUUGUGUUUGCUUGUUUACGUCUCUGUCUCCUACCCUGUUCCCUUUAACUCUGCUCCAGUUCUCCAGGACCUAGGGGGUUCUGUCCAACACCCAGACGUGGAUCCACCUGCUGUCUUCCAUUACCUGUUCUCCAGAACCUAGGGGUUCUGCCCAACACCCAGACGUGGAUCCACCUGCUGUCCUCCAUUACCUGCUCUCCAGGACCUAAGGGUUCUGCCCAACACCCAGACGUGGAUCCACCUGAUGUCCUUCAUUACCAACCACCCUCCAACUUUUCAUUACCUGAUCUACAGCUGCUGUUAUUGUCAUGUUGUCAUUAUCUGCUAAGAACGUUUCAUUGAUCUAUCAUACUGGGCACAUAACAUGUGAGAUACACAGAUUAACGAAAAAAACACUAGCACUGCAAACACUCAGAACAAAGAGAGCAGCAGUGCCUGGACUUUGCAUUCUCCCUCUUCAAGUCCCCCUUCUGAGACUGGCUGCCUGUUGAGAACAAGUGACAAACAGAACCUCCCACCCACACAGCACCCACCCAGGGACGGAGCCAGAGGGGUGCCACCCAAAAAUGUAAUUCGCUACUGGCAGUUUGAUGCUGAUUGACAUCUCAUUUCACCACUUGUUGAAAGAAGCAUUUAUUUUGACAUUCGGCGGUGCAUUUUUCAAAAUCGAGGACGAGGAAAAUAGAAUAUUAACGUUGUUUGCGAGAUACAGAAGAAUAAGAAUAAGCAUUCAGAAGAAGAAGAGAGAAUAUUUCCACAGCUCCACGAGCUCGUUUCGCGAUUGGCGAAAGCAUCAUAUUUGAAACAUGUCAAGAUCCAGAGAAGAGGAUCCAGUACAGCCGUGUUUGAAAACAUUUCCCAGAACUCAGCAUGGUACCAGGAAAAGGGCUUUCAUCAGCUCCUGGUAUAAGGACAAUUCAUGGCUUGAAUAUUCUGUUUGUCAAGAUUUGAGUUAUUGUUUCGCCUGUAGGCAUUUUUCUCUGCCCAAUACACCUGAAUCUGCCUUCACAUCACAGUCAGAUUUCUCUGCCCAAUACACCUGAAUCUGCCUUCACAUCACAGUCAUGUUUCUCUGCCCAAUACACCUGAAUCUGCCUUCACAUCACAGUCAGGUUUCUCUGCCCAAUACACCUGAAUCUGCCUUCACAUCACAGUCAUUUUUCACUGCCCAAUACACCUGAAUCUGCCUUCACAUCACAGUCAUGUUUCUCUGCCCAAUACACCUGAAUCUGCCUUCACAUCACAGUCAUGUUUCACUGCCCAAUACACCUGAAUCUGCCUUCACAUCACAGUCAUGUUUCUCUGCCCAAUACACCUGAAUCUGCCUUCACAUCACAGUCAUGUUUCUCUGCCCAAUACACCUGAAUCUGCCUUCACAUCACAGUCAUGUUUCUCUGCCCAAUACACCUGAAUCUGCCUUCACAUCACAGUCAUGUUUCUCUGCCCAAUACAUCUGAAUCUGCCUUCACAUCACAGUCAUUUUUCACUGCCCAAUAUACCUGAAUCUGCCUUCACAUCACAGUCAGGUUUUUGUAAGUGGAAAAAGGCGCUGUUUAAAGGUUCUGGGUUUAAGCUCCAUUCGAAGGCACAGCAGGGUAGCCUAGUGGUUAGAGUGUUGUAACCGGAAGGUUGCAAGUUCAAACCCCCGAGCUGACAAGGUACAAAUCUGUCAUUCUGCCCCUGAACAGGCAGUUAACCCACUGUUCCUAGGCUGUCAUUGAAAAUAAGAAUUUGUUCUUAACUGACUUGCCUAGUUAAAUAAAAAAUAAUUUAAAAAAUCAUAUCAAUGCUUGGAAUCAGCAUAAAAGGGCUAUUGACAGCAACUUGUCAAUAUUAGAUGUCAUAAAUGAGGACCGGAAAAAGAAAGUGGAGGAAAGCUGUACUUACAUUAAAACAAUUACAGAUGUGCUCCUAUUAACUGCCAAUCAAAAUAUAGAGCAGAGAGGUCAUUGAGAGUCUGAUGACUCUCACAAUAAGGGUCAAUUUUUGACAAUCUUAGAAGAAAUAGCAAAGCAUGACGCUCUCAUAGAGAAAAGGAUGAAUGAAUGUGGCAAUGCUAAGUACACAAGCCACCAAAUCCAUAACGGAAGUUCUUGAGGGCUUAGCUGAGCUGGUACAAAGUGAAAUAAUAAGAGAAGUAAAAAAAAAAAUGGAAGUUUUUAGUGUAAUUGCAGAUGAAACCAAACAUUUUAAGAAAAAAAUAACAAAUGUCUUUAGUUGUGAAGUACUACUACAACGGAGCAAAAUCUUUUUACACUUUCAGUCAGCUGAAAGCUUAGAUGCAAAAAUGAUAAUUGAUUGCCUUGAAAAACAUGGUCUGGACUACAGAAAUAAUCUUGUGGGGCAAGGCUAUGACGGUGCAGCCGUCGUGAGCGGAAAGCAUUCUGGUGUGUCUGUACGGAUUUAAAAACAGUGCAAGAUUUGCAUUUUAUGUGCACUGUAAUGCACAUUGUUGUUUGAACGUGGUUCUUGCCGAUGCUGUAAAAUCAGUGCCCGAGGCAGUUCACUUUUUUGCUCUCCUGCAGAAGCUUUAUAACUUUGUGUCGUACGUUCGUCUCAAGUGGCUUGCAGUUCAGAAAGAGCUGUAUCAACAGCAGCAGCCCAGGGAACUACGGAGACUUACGGAUGUAAGGUGGGCCUGCAGAUACAUGACAUGCCGUAAUCUGAGGGACAGGAUUCCAGCAGUUCUGAGAGUGUUACAGGAUAGCACACUUGAAAAUAGUGGUGAUAGAUCAGUGGAGGCAAGGGGCCUUCUUUCUCAGAUAGAUGUACAUUUCAUAAAGCUUUUGGUUACCUUUUUGUAAAGUGCUUGGUGAUGCCAAAUGUCUUUCUGACAUGCUCCAAUCAAGCUCUCUUGACCUAGUGAGGGCUGUGGCUCUAGCAGGUGCCCUUACAGACACAUUACAGGACUACAGAAGGUAGGGUUACUAUGGAGAACUAUGGAAAGGGGUUGAAGAGAUUACAGAGCACUGCAAAAUAAGUGUACAAACAGUUGGUAAACUACAGCCUAAAACAAGCUUAGAUUUCACAACUCAUUGAUGAGCACUGUAGGACAGAAAAAUAGUGACCAACGUGAUGGUGAGAGCUUCCAAAGAGCUAUCUUUUUAUCAGGUGCUUGACAGUCUCACAGCUGAGCUGCAGAGGUGUUUUUCAAAGAAGAAUUGCGAGAUAAUGCAAAGGGUCCAGUCUCUCAACCCAAAGAGUACACCAUUCUUGAAUGAGGAGCCUCUGUUUGCCUUUGCUCAGACCUUUGAGUUAGAUUUAGAGGACCUCAAACAUGAGGUUCAUCCAACCAAGUGACUUCUUGAUAGGAGAGAUAAAAGUGGAAGGAACAGACUGUCUACUCUCCUUGGCUUUGUUGUGUUUCUAGAACCUUUAUAAAGAGGUCUUCCAUGAGCUAUUUUGACUUUGUAAGAUUUCUGUUGUUACCCCAGUGCUUCUUGCGAGAGAAGCUUCUCAGCUCUAAAACGGAUUAAAACCCCACUUUAGGACAGCAAUGGUUGACGACAGGUUAAGUCACCUCGGAAUUCUUAGUGUUGAGUCAAGGAGGGCACGCUCCCUCAACAUGGAUGAGUUUGUGAAACAUUUAGCCAGUUCUCACCAGAACUGCAGAAUUAUGCUGUUUUAAAUCUACCUAGGAUAAUUUGGCACUUAGGCGGUCCCUCUGAUCAUGAUUAAAACCUGCUCUAUGUACUAGCUAGUACACUGACAUUCUAAAAUGAUACAUCCAAAGGAUAUCACGUCACACAGAUUUAAUUUGGUCUUGAUUAGGCCAAUUCC